GAUGAACGCUGGCGGCGUGCCUAAUACAUGCAAGUCGAGCGAACAGAUGAGGAGCUUGCUCCUCUGACGUUAGCGGCGGACGGGUGAGUAACACGUGGAUAACCUACCUAUAAGACUGGGAUAACUUCGGGAAACCGGAGCUAAUACCGGAUAAUAUAUUGAACCGCAUGGUUCAAUAGUGAAAGACGGUUUUGCUGUCACUUAUAGAUGGAUCCGCGCCGCAUUAGCUAGUUGGUAAGGUAACGGCUUACCAAGGCAACGAUGCGUAGCCGACCUGAGAGGGUGAUCGGCCACACGGGAACUGAGACACGGUCCAGACUCCUACGGGAGGCAGCAGUAGGGAAUCUUCCGCGAUGGGCGAAAGCCUGACGGAGCAACACCGCGUGAGUGAUGAAGGUCUUCGGAUCGUAAAACUCUGUUAUUAGGGAAGAACAAAUGUGUAAGUAACUAUGCACGUCUUGACGGUACCUAAUCAGAAAGCCACGGCUAACUACGUG
rnacentral:rRNA from 1 species